rnacentral:lncRNA from 1 species
CUGUGAGGGGAAAGUGGCUUCAGCUGGGUUAUGGAGGGAGGUGGUGGAAGACUGAGGUGAGAGAACCAGGGCUGUUAAUACUCAUUUGCUACCUGAUCUGGCCCAUGAUCCUGUGUUUCUGAUGACUAAAUACAUCAACAGAAAAGGGACCCAUACAUUAUUUGCGUGCAAUAGAUGUGAGAUUUGCAUCACUGAAAUUGGGCUUGAAUUGGCUAAGCAAGCUUCAAUAAAAACUUAAGACUUCUGGGAUGUGCAGAAUACAGAAAGUGGGGCAUUAUCCAGCUCACAACUCCUGCAGGGUGUGAGUGGUGCUCAGCCACUCCACUCCAGGCCAUGGCUGAUUGGUUCUAGGGAGAGGAGCUUGAGCCAAGCUCAGCCAAUCACAUUCUCACUCUCAGGACCAUGAAAACCUGAGAUUGAAGCACAGUCAUCUUAGGGCAGAGCCCCAGACCUAAGGCCCCCUGGCCUCUCUACACUUGACGUUCUCAGCCUCUCCUCCAAGGUCCUCUCAUUUCUGCUAUAGCCCUUCACUCUUGCCUCUUAACAUCAAGGCCUCUAGACUCAAGAGCCUAAAGACUGUUGUAACCAUGCCCU